UAAUUGAAGAGUUUGAUCAUGGCUCAGAUUGAACGCUGGCGGCAGGCCUAACACAUGCAAGUCGAGCGGCAGCACAGAGGAACUUGUUCCUUGGGUGGCGAG
rnacentral:rRNA from 1 species